GAUCCUGGCUCAGAUUGAACGCUGGCGGCAGGCCUAACACAUGCAAGUCGAACGGUAACAGGAAACAGCUUGCUGUUUCGCUGACGAGUGGCGGACGGGUGAGUAAUGUCUGGGAAACUGCCUGAUGGAGGGGGAUAACUACUGGAAACGGUAGCUAAUACCGCAUAACGUCGCAAGACCAAAGAGGGGGACCUUGGGCCUCUUGCCAUCGGAUGUGCCCAGAUGGGAUUAGCUAGUAGGUGGGUAACGG
rnacentral:rRNA from 1 species